AGAGGGUGCGAGCGUUAAUCGGAAUCACUGGGCGUAAAGGGCUUGUAGGUGGAUUGGUAAGUUAGAUGUGAAAGGCCUGGGCUUAACCUAGGGACUGCAUUUAAGACUGCGAAUCUAGAGUACAGUAGAGGAAAGUGGAAUUUCCGGUGUAGCGGUGAAAUGCGUAGAUAUCGGAAGGAACACCAGUGGCGAAGGCGGCUUUCUGGACUGAUACUGACACUGAGGAGCGAAAGCGUGGGGAGCAAACAGGAUUAGAUACCCUGGUAGUCCACGCCGUAAACGAUGAGAACUAGCCGACUGGAGCUUUAGCUCUGGGUGGCGCAGCUAACGCGUUAAGUUCUCCGCCUGGGAGUACGGCCGCAAGGUUA
rnacentral:rRNA from 1 species